AUGGACAGAUCAGGACAUGGUAGUGUAGAGGGGUCCUGAUGGACAGAUCAGGACAUGGUAGUGUAGAGGGGUCCUGCAGGGGAGAUAUUAAUGUAUGGAGGCGAUCACCUCUCUUCUGGACACAUAUCUAUAGCAAAUCAAAUAAAUCAUUGAAAUGUAUACUUUAAAAACAGUUAUACCAUUAAUACAAAUCUUCAUAGUUUAUAGUAAGCAGAACCAAUUCCAUCACACUCUGUGUACCAAGUUCAAUUCAUGUUUAAUGUCAUAAAAACCAAAAUAGAUUUUACAAACAAUUUUUACAUAAAUAAUUCCCUAUUAAAGUAAAUAGUUUUAAAUGAACAUUUUAGUUACACAAUGCACAUAACAUAUCUUACAGAACAAUAACUAGAAACAAGAUAAAGCAAAUAAACAGUCUAAUAAUUUCAUCUCUGCAAUAAAUAGCAAUGUUGCUACAUCUACUAGAUGUUACAGGCAAACACCAAAACUAAGGAACAAUUCAUGUCUAUAUUUAUACAUUUAUGGAAAAUAGAAAGAAAUUGACAUUUAUUUUUAAGCCAUAUGUAAACUCACAUAGUUUUAUCUUUGCUGAGACAUACACAUAUUGAACAAUUCACAUGGACUAGAACUAAAACAUGAACAUAGAUUAACUUAGAUUCAGUUCGCUCAUUAUAAUACAGUUCUUAUCAUUUUGUAUAAUAUUACAGUUUAAUUUACGACAUUAAGAAAUUAGAAACAUAACGCUUUCUUUCCAACUCAACCAGCAUGUCUUUGACUCCAGGGAUUGACAUGCAUUACAUGAGGAGAGGCUGUAGCAGCCUCUGGAUGUGUAUGAGCCAACAUGACAUUUCAUAUAUUUGGAACCUGAGAAUCCUAAUGAUCUGUUCCAGAUGUUUGUCCCCAUAGGUCGUUAUCAAUAAGACGUCACAACAGGGUGCAGAGCGUUUCAUUUGGCUGCUGUAGAGCAAGAAGACCGUCAGCUCUGCUAAAACCAUUGACAACUGCGUGCCGUUUUCAAGGGAUUGUUAAAACAUUUUUUAAGACCUUUAUUUAACUAGGCAAGUCGGUUAAGAACAAAUUCUUAUUUACAAUGACGGCCUAGGAACAGUGGGUUAACUGCCUUGUUCAGGAGCAGAAGGACAGAUUUUUACCUUGUCAGCUCGGGGAUUCAAUCUAGCAACCUUUCGGUUACUGGCCCAACGCUCUAACCACAAGGCUACCUGCCGCCCCAAUGCUCUAACCACAAGGCUACCUGCCUCCCCAACGCUCUAACCACAAGGCUACCUGCCGCCCCAAUGCUCUAACCACAAGGCUACGUGCCGCCCCAAUGCUCUAACCACAAGGCUACCUGCCUCCCCAACGCUCUAACCACAAGGCUACCUGCUGCUCUAACCACUAGGCUACCUGCUGCUCUAACCACUAGGCUACCUGCCGCUCUAACCACUAGGCUACCUGCCGCUCUAACCACUAGGCUACCUGCCGCUCUAACCACUAGGCUACCUGCCGCUCUAACCACGAGGCUACCUGCCGCUCUAACCACUAGGCUACCUGCCGCUCUAACCACUAGGCUACCUGCCGCUCUAACCACUAGGCUACCUGCCUCCCCUACACUCUAACCACUAGGCUACCUGCCCCUCUAACCACUAGGCUACCUGCUGCUCUAACCACUAGGCUACCUGCCCCUCUAACCACUAGGCUACCUGCCGCUCUAACCACUAGGCUACCUGCCGCUCUAACCACUAGGCUACCACCCGCCCCAACGCUCUAACCACUAGGCUACCUGCCUCUCUAACCACUAGGCUACCUGUCUCUCUAACCACUAGGCUACCUGCCCCUCUAACCACUAGGCUACCUGCCCCUCUAACCACUAGGCUACCUGCCCCUCUAACCACUAGGCUACCUGCCCCUCUAACCACUAGGCUACCUGCUCCUCUAACCACUAGGCUACCUGCU
rnacentral:lncRNA from 1 species